GCUCGCUUUUCGUAAGAGAAAACUGUAACCUCGGCUCACACCGGCCGCCCCCCUGGUCCCGCAGUAACCUCCCCGGAGAAAGGAGCUUAAGGCAGAGACUGGGGGGUCUGAAUAAGAUGGAAUCGUCCCAGGUGACGUUCUUUAAGAUUCGAUGUGGAAUCUGUAUCCAGUAAGAAUUUUAGUGUCGAGUUGAAAUGAGAAUGGAGUGAUCACCAGGUUCCAAAUGGGGUCUGGGGGCCGCGGAGGACCGGGUCUCAGCCCCCCUCCCAGAUCCAGGGACGCCCCCGCCUACCCAGAGCAGCACCUGCCAGGAACAGCCUUAUGGUCUCAGGAGUUCCUCUUACAGCUACGCAACCGUCUCAGACUGCAGCCCGUCCUUUGUAGACAAGCGCCCUGCCUUCUUGCCAGCUCCAAUUAUAAUUCUUGAUAAAAACACACAUAUUCUAGAUGUGUUUAAACUGUCCAAAGGAACUCCAGAAGUCUACGGUUUUUCUUUUAAAAAGUUCCUCCCAACUUAGAGGUAUGGUUUCCUUCUGGGAUGAAAUUGUUGCAGCCUAAUUUGCAUUUAUUCUUAAAUUUUGGAUAUAGACCUGUAAUCGUUCAUAUAGAAACUGGGAAUCUUUCAAAAGGGGAUAGUGGUGAAGAAGAACAAAAGAGUGUACUUUCUCAGCUGCCUAAAUUCCAUCAGUUUCAAGCCCAAACCUUAAUUUGUAAGCAUUUCUUGUUGUAUCUACUUGUUUCUGAACUGAGGAAAAGGACUUGAUUUUUGCAUGGAUACAGUUUAUAGAGUACCUGCUCUGGGCCAGGCACCAGACAGGAUGCUAAAAAUAUAUCUUUUCACAAAAGGAUUAUAUCAAAAAAGAGGAAGGUUGUAAACCGUGUGGAACUCAAGAAAUGGUUCUGUUUCUGUUGAUUUGCUUUUUUACCCUGAUUUUCUUCUUGAAAUAUGCAGCUGUCAGUACUGCAAAGCUAAUCACGUUAAUGCUUUUACACCCAAAGUCUAAGAACAUCCUUGUGUGCCUCCCUGGAAGGAGUCACAGAACCUAAAUAGGUGUCUAGGUCUAGAAAGAGGAGUGGCUGGCAUGCAGGGAUCACUCCAGAAAGUUGGCAGCAACGUCAGUGCCCUGAGAAAGCCUUGCUCUUUGGAAUCUUAACUGUAAUGUGGGGAGGAAAAUUUUUCAGCAUCUGCCUCAAAACUUUUCUGCCUGGAUUCUUUCUGCAGAGAAUACUCUCAAAGUGUUCAGGCUUUCCUCUGCCAACAAAUCAGAGGAAGAGCCCUCGUCAUUCUCUUGAGACAUCAGAGAGACUCAAGCAGCACUUCCUAAAGGGAAGGGAUGGUGACAUCCGAUAUCCCGGAAGUGGAGAAUAAAAUGAACUGUCAUCAAGAUAGCUGCAUACUUCCUACACGAACACUGGAAACUGGGCGCAGGAUCGCACCUGAGGCAGGCUGGCCCUGAGCAUCUUCUCGGUCCUCUGGGCAGGAGCCUCGGCCCAGCAGAGUGAGGACACAUGGGAAAGGGGUGCUGGGGCCUUGGGCUUGGUUUUGUUUUCUUCCUGCUAUUUGAGCAGGGGGUAAAAUGAAAGGUUUCCUUCUGACCCCAACCACUCCCUCCUCUCCAAAACAGAUACAAAAUAGAGGCUGAAUUUCAGAUUAGGGUGGAUUGGAGCCUAGAGGGGAGGAGUUAUCUGAGUGUGUGAGAGCUGCACUGGGUCCUGAUCAGGACGGGGAGAGGGACACUCAGGGCCGGACACCCCCACAUAGUCACAGGGGCUCCCUGGGCCAGACGCCCCCACAUAGUCACAGGGGGGCUCCCUGGGGCCAGAUGCCCCCACAUAGUCACGGGGGCUCCCUGGGGCCAGAUACCCCCACAUAGUCACAGGGGGUUCCCUGGGGCCAGACGCCCCCACAUAGUCACGGGGGGCUCCCUGGGGCCAGACACCCCCACAUAGUCACGGGGGGCUCCCUGGGCCAGAUGCCCCCACAUAGUCACGGGGGUGGGGGAGACACCCCCCAACAUAGUCAAAGGGGGCUCCCUGGGCCAGAUGCCCCCACAUAGUCACAGGGGGCUCCCUGGGGCCAGACACCCCCACAUAGUCACAAGGGCUCCCUGGGCCAGAUGCCCCCACAUAGUCACAGGGGGUUCCCUGGGGCCGGACACCCCCACAUAGUCACAGGGGGUUCCCUGGGGCCGGACACCCCCACAUAGUCACAGGGGCUCCCUGGGCCAGAUGCCCCCACAUAGUCACAAGUGGGAGGUCCACGGGGCUGGAUACUUCUGCAUAGUCAUGGGGUGCUGAGGUGCUGGGAGGGGUGGGGGUGGACAGCAGAGCAGAGACAGAUGAUGGGCCAGCCCUGCUGAGCUCUGCACAAGGGGAAUGGCUGACACACCAUGCCCUCCAGUCUCCUUAGACUGGCCAAGCUUCAGAGACUUGCUGGGCACAAAGAGGGACCCCCAAGCUGACCAAGGCGGAACCGCUGUGGCACGUGGAGACGCACAGAUGGAAAAAUAAGGAAAUGAAGUGCUUGCCGUACCAGCGCUGCAGAAGAAUUCAUGUGGUCCAAGUCAGGGUAAUUGUUUACUAAUAAAACUGCUUUAAUUUGGAAAACGUUCAAGGAAAUAAGGAAACAGUUUGGUCAUUUGGCGAACAGUUCUCCACACUCCACGUAUCAGACAAGCGUACGCCAAAUCAGAGGAAACAGAAAUCAGGCACGUAUACAAAAGUACAAAGAGAAAUGAAAACCUCUCAUAUGCCUUUUGGAAAUUCACAAAUGAAAAGCCCUUUAAUAGUACAAAACUCAAACACUAGAAUGUUUUUUCAAGGCCAUGAAAAAAAAUGAAUUCCAUGUCUAUCUUGUAAACUUAGAAUAGUACAGCA